UCCCGUCGCGUGUUGUGCGUGAGUGGUAGUGGUGCGAGACGGAGUUCCGUCGAGGUCUUGGGCGAGUGGUUCGAGGGCUGUGUGCGUAGCCGUGUGUGUGAGUUCGAGAGUUUUUGUGCGAAGAGUGUCGUGGUUCGUGCGAGUGUUGCGCGAAGAGGUUCGAGGGUUGUGCGAGGGUUGUGCGAAGGACGUUCGAGGGUGUCGUGCGAGUGUAGCCGCGCGACAAAGCCGAAGUGGUGCGAAGAGUUGUGCGGUGUUCGAGGGAGUCGUGCGUGUGUUGUUGUGCGUAGGUCGAGAGCGAGCGAAGGGUGCGUCGCUGCUGUGCGCGCCAGCGAACCGAAGAAGGCUCGAGUGGGGCUGUGUGGCGAGCGAAGGCCACCGGAGUUCCGUCGCCGGAAUUUUGUGCCGGCGAAAGUCAGUGGUCCCAAUUUCAUAAGCGGCUCGUUCUAUUAAGUCAGCGAAAAUUCUCCGCUACAAGACUAGGUGAGCUGGUGCUGCUGCAUGACAUCAAGCAUAUGGGGGCUAGACUGUAGUUUGAAGUUAACUUUUGGUUUGAUCAUUAAUGAAUUUUAUAGAACAUUGUUACAUAGUUUGAGUUUGAAUAAAGAGGGUCUACUAUGAUUCCCGAGUUGUAUUUACAUUUUCUAUUCCGCUGCAAUUUGGUUUUGAGACAAUGAAUUUGAGUUACCGUAUUUCUAAUUAUGCCUUGCGUUCCAUCGCGGCGGUAACACUC